GUUUGUAGCUUGUUUCGUGAACAUCCAGCUACUUUCUAAACUUUUCAGCCCUCCUUAUCAUUAAGUAUUGCCAUGGGACUAAGUUCUGGCUAAUGGAAAUGUGAGAAAAAGGUAUGUAAAAUCUCCCUUUAUGCACAACAUUGUCCUUAAAAGGACACUGCAUUCUUCCAUUUUUUCCCUUUGAAGAUAUCUGGAGGUAGGACAGGUACUACUUGAAUGGAAUCUGGGAACAACCUAGUUUAUUCUUACACUAACUUUUUCCCCUUCAUUGUAUCUUCCUCUUCUCUCCGUAACCAUUUUCUGAGGUAUUGGUGCUAUUAAUGUUUGCAACUUUUAUGAAUCUGGGUGCUCCUGUUUUGGGUGCACAUAUAUAUUUAGGAUAGUUAACUUUUCUUGUUGAAUUGAUCCCUUUACCAUUAUGUAAUGGCCUUCUUUGUCU
rnacentral:lncRNA from 1 species